AUGUAUGCUGAUCGAUUUCAUCUGCAGUCCCUCCCCAUAUCCGAAGAGUCCACCGGUAAGGUCAAUCUCAGGUUCUGGCAGGAAGACGGUCCCAUCAAAUGCGUCAUCGAGAGCAUGAAGGUGUUCUUUUACGAGUUCAGAGGGACGAGAAGCGAGGUUACUUUCCUCAAGUUCGUCACGGAGAGAGGUCGGGUGCUGGAGCAGAUGGUGGUUGUGGUGACCAGGGAAUGUUUCUCCUCGGGGGAUGAUAAUGUGAGCGCCAAGCUCAAGCCUCUGAUCAGCGCAAAAUGGACUAGAGGGUAUGCAUUAGGCAUUCGUCUCAUUCUUAGACCGUCGCAUUUGGCGGUGCGCAUCGCUGCCCAGGCUCGCCGCGACAUGAUGCUAUAG
rnacentral:rRNA from 1 species